rnacentral:rRNA from 1 species
UACGAAGGGGGCUAGCGUUGCUCGGAAUUACUGGGCGUAAAGCGCACGUAGGCGGCUUUCUAAGUCGGGGGUGAAAUCCUGGAGCUCAACUCCAGAACUGCCUUCGAUACUGGAGAGCUCGAGUCCGGGAGAGGUGAGUGGAACUGCGAGUGUAGAGGUGAAAUUCGUAGAUAUUCGCAAGAACACCAGUGGCGAAGGCGGCUCACUGGCCCGGUACUGACGCUGAGGUGCGAAAGCGUGGGGAGCAAACAGU